UUGAAAAUUUCAUUAUUUGAUUUAAAAAAAUUAAUUGUUCGAAUAUCUAAGAUAUCCGACAUUGGGUUAUAUACAUAUAUAAAUUAAAAAAUUAGUUUUUUUAAAUCAGCUUUUCAUCAUGGUCUGACCCUGUCUAAGGUUGGCCUGGCAAAGGCUAGAAGAAGAGAUAUUGUUACUCGAAAUGACUACAUAAGGAUCAACCAGAUUUGUUGCAUCAUAUGCAAGAAAACAUAUAAAGAGAAAAGUAAUCUCAAGAGACACAUGCAACUCAAACACUCUGCUGAAGCAGUUUUAGAUGCUAAUUCAAUAGAUGACGAGAAAGAUGAAGAUAAUUAUCAAACUAAGGAUGAAGAAACUGAUGAAGAAAAGAAUGAAGAAACUGAUGAAGAGAAGGAUGAAGAAUAAGAUCAAG